rnacentral:rRNA from 1 species
CCCGCACAAGCGGCGGAGCAUGCGGAUUAAUUCGAUGCAACGCGAAGAACCUUACCAAGGCUUGACAUAUACCGAAAACUCGUGGAGACACGGGGUCCGCAAGGGCGGUAUACAGGUGGUGCAUGGUUGUCGUCAGCUCGUGUCGUGAGAUGUUGGGUUAAGUCCCGCAACGAGCGCAACCCUCGUCCUAUGUUGCCAGCGGAUCAUGCCGGGGACUCAUAGGAGACUGCCGGGGUCAACUCGGAGGAAGGUGGGGAUGAGGUCAAAUCAUCAUGCCCCUUAUGUCUUGGGCUUCACGCAUGCUACAAUGGCCGGUACAAAGGGCUGCGAUACCGCAAGGUGGAGCGAAUCUCAAAAAGCCGGUCUCAGUUCGGAUUGGGGUCUGCAACUCGACCCCAUGAAGUCGGAGUCGCUAGUAAUCGCAGAUCAGCAACGCUGCGGUGAAUACGUUCCCGGGCCUU